AGGUGCAAUCAUAGCAACACUAAUGCACCGGAUCCCAUCAGAACUCGCAGUUAAGCGUGCUUGGGCGAGAGUAGUACUAGGAUGGGUGACCGCCCGAGAAUUCUGUACAUCCC
rfam:Brassica napus, WGS project CCCW01000000 data, contig: 16603